AUUGAACGCUGGCGGCAUGCCUUACACAUGCAAGUCGAACGGUAACAGGUCUUCGGAUGCUGACGAGUGGCGAACGGGUGAGUAAUACAUCGGAACGUGCCCAGACGUGGGGGAUAACGAGGCGAAAGCUUUGCUAAUACCGCAUACGAUCUAAGGAUGAAAGCAGGGGACCGCAAGGCCUUGCGCGUUUGGAGCGGCCGAUGGCAGAUUAGGUAGUUGGUGGGAUAAAAGCUUACCAAGCCGACGAUCUGUAGCUGGUCUGAGAGGACGACCAGCCACACUGGGACUGAGACACGGCCCAGACUCCUACGGGAGGCAGCAGUGGGGAAUUUUGGACAAUGGGCGAAAGCCUGAUCCAGCAAUGCCGCGUGCAGGAUGAAGGCCUUCGGGUUGUAAACUGCUUCUGUACGGAACGAAAAGGCUCUGGCUAAUACCUGGGGCACAUGACGGUACCGUAAGAAUAAGCACCGGCUAACUACGUG
rnacentral:rRNA from 1 species